rnacentral:lncRNA from 1 species
GCUAUUUUGGUGGUCGGUCUAUGAGAUAGAUCGGUUUUGUACAAGGUUGAUUGGAUCAAUCAUACUCGGGGACCGCUGGCUUCGCCCUGUCGUAGCGCCUUAGAUGUCGUUGCGAGAUUCACAACGCCGAUAGAUAUCGUUUCUAUGCAUAACUUGUUUUGCAGGAUGUUGUGAAUGGUAUGGCUUAUGUGCAUGUGAUGUGUGUAAUCCAUAC